rnacentral:rRNA from 1 species
GUAAGUUUAAGCAAUUAAACUUUAGUGGCGAACGGGUGAGUAACGCGUAAGCAAUCUGCCCCUAAGACGAGGAUAACAGUUGGAAACUACUGCUAAGACUGGAUAGGAGACAAGAAGGCAUCUUCUUGUUUUUAAAAGACCUAGCAAUAGGUAUGCUUAGGGAGGAGCUUGCGUCACAUUAGUUAGUUGGUGGGGUAAAGGCCUACCAAGACUAUGAUGUGUAGCCGGGCUGAGAGGUUGAACGGCCACAUUGGGACUGAGACACGGCCCAAACUCCUACGGGAGGCAGCAGUAGGGAAUUUUCGGCAAUGGAGGAAACUCUGACCGAGCAACGCCGCGUGAACGAUGAAGUAUUUCGGUACGUAAAGUUCUUUUAUUAGGGAAGAAUAAAUGAUGGAAAAAUCAUUCUGACGGUACCUAAUGAAUAAGCCCCGGCUAACUAUGUGCCAGCAGCCGCGGUAAUACAUAGGGGGCAAGCGUUAUCCGGAAUUAUUGGGCGUAAAGGGUGCGUAGGCGGUUAAAUAAGUUUAUGGUCUAAGUGCAAUGCUCAACAUUGUGAUGCUAUAAAAACUGUUUAGCUAGAGUAAGAUAGAGGCAAGUGGAAUUCCAUGUGUAGUGGUAAAAUGCGUAAAUAUAUGGAGGAACACCAGUAGCGAAGGCGGCUUGCUGGGUCUUUACUGACGCUGAGGCACGAAAGCGUGGGGAGCAAACAGGAUUAGAUACCCUGGUAGUCCACGCCGUAAACGAUGAGUACUAAACGUUGGGUAAAACCAGUGUUGAAGUUAACACAUUAAGUACUCCGCCUGAGUAGUACGUACGCAAGUAUGAAACUUAAAGGAAUUGACGGGACUCCGCACAAGCGGUGGAUCAUGUUGUUUAAUUCGAAGGUACCCGAAAAACCUCACCAGGUCUUGACAUGCUUCUGCAAAGCUGUAGAAACACAGUGGAGGUUAUCAGUUGCACAGGUGGUGCAUGGUUGUCGUCAGCUCGUGUCGUGAGAUGUUGGGUUAAGUCCCGCAACGAGCGCAACCCUUAUUGUUAGUUACCAGCACGUAAUGGUGGGGACUUUAGCAAGACUGCCAGUGAUAAAUUGGAGGAAGGUGGGGACGACGUCAAAUCAUCAUGCCCCUUAUGACCUGGGCUACAAACGUGAUACAAUGGCUGUUACAAAGGGUAGCUGAAGCGCAAGUUUUUGGCGAAUCUCAAAAAAACAGUCUCAGUUCGGAUUGAAGUCUGCAACUCGACUUCAUGAAGUUGGAAUCGCUAGUAAUCGCGAAUCAGCAUGUCGCGGUGAAUACGUUCUCGGGGUUUGUACACACCGCCCGUCAAACCACGAAAGUUGGCAAUACCCAAAGCCGGCGGCCUAACUUCGCAAGAAGAGGGAACCGUCUAAGGUAGGGUCGAUGAUUGGGGUUAAGUCGUAACAAGGUAUCCCUACCGGAAGGUGGGGAUGGAUC